UACGGGGGGGGCAAGCGUUGUUCGGAAUUACUGGGCGUAAAGGGCUCGUAGGCGGCCAACUAAGUCGGAUGUGAAAUCCCCAGGCUUAACCUGGGAACUGCAUCCGAUACUGGAUGGCUUGAAUUCGGGAGAGGGAUGCAGAAUUCCAGGUGUAGCGGUGAAAUGCGUAGAUAUCUGGAGGAACACCGGUGGCGAAGGCGGCAUUCUGGACCGAUAUUGACGCUGAGGAGCGAAAGCCAGGGGAGCAAACGGG
rnacentral:rRNA from 1 species